GCUCUCCAGACUUCCAGGAAGAGCGGUCAGAUGCCCACUGGGGGCAAGUCCCUUCACUUCUUUGGAUGGAAGGUGCCUAUCUAUGAGGUACAGUGAUGGUUGUGGAAUUACUCUCCCGGAAAACCUUUCCAGACAGGGGUGAGUCUCAUCUUUCUGGGAUAAUGUGGGUGCAGCCCUGCCUUGGAGUUUGGUCGGCAGCCUCUCGAGAUUCAUUCCAGUCUGAUGAUUCUCUCAUUUUACACCAAUAGAUGCACUGGGGCAAAAAAGGCAUCCAACAGACACAAUCGGUGGAUGUAAAGAUUGUGCUGACUAAGCAAACAGCUUUAAAACAAGCCCUCUGUGCAUCCCCUUCCCUAAUCCCUAACCCUGGACCAGCCUAAAUGCCUUUCUUAAAGAAUCUUGAAACUCCCACCGUCCCAGACUCCCUGCCCUCUGUCCUACGAAGAGAGAAAGCAGAAACGCUGAUUUGCAUUGCUCUUGCUGCUUAUGAAAAGACCUCCUCCACUCCACUCAGAUAUGAUAGCUACCUACAUUUUCUUCAGUGUGGUUUUCUUCUAUGUGGUCAUUUUUUAAACCUUUUAUUCAUCUGGAAUUUCAUGGCGUACAUGAAUUUAAAAUCAACUUUGUUCUUUUCAUGUAAUAUUUGUCCUAGUACUACUGAAUAAUUAUAGACUCAUCUUCUUUAUGUUACUCUAAAUGACAGUAUUAUAAUGUUUAAUGUCACAUAGUAUAAUAUCUCCCCCCUUUGUUUUUUUAAAAAUAAUAUUUUAGUUAUUUGUUUAUUCUUCCAGAUAAACAUAAGGUCACUGUGAAGAAUUUUUUUUUUUUGAAAUCCCAUAAGGCUUUGGAUCACAGCACCACUAAACUUCUAUUCUCCCCCAAUCAAUGUAAUCAUGUGCAUGACUGAAUUCUAUCUAAUAACAUGAGCAUUCCAUUUAUCAAAUUGUAUUUUUCUUUGCAGAGUCUCUCUUUAACCUAGACAUAAAUUCCCUGAGGACAAACUUUAUUUCCAUUUUGUUGCUCAGUAUAUUCUAUUCCUAGUAGCUAGUAGAGUGUACUAGUAGUUAACUGAAUGAAUGAAAUCAAAGUGACCUA